rnacentral:rRNA from 1 species
GACGAACGCUGGCGGCGUGCUUAACACAUGCAAGUCGUACGGAAAGGCCCUUUUCGGAGGGUGCUCGAGUGGCGAACGGGUGAGUAACACGUGAGUGACCUGCCUUCAGCUUUGGGAUAACCCUCGGAAACGGGGGCUAAUACUGGAUAGGACUCCUGCAUGCAUGUGUGGGGGUGGAAAGCCUCUUUGGGGGUGGCUGGGGAUGGGCUCGCGGCCUAUCAGCUUGAUGGUGGGGUGAUGGCCUACCUUGGCGGUGACGGGUAGCCGGCCUGAGAGGGUGUCCGGCCACAUUGGGACUGAGAUACGGCCCAGACUCCUACGGGAGGCAGCAGUGGGGAAUUUUGCGCAAUGGGCGGAAGCCUGACGCAGCGACGCCGCGUGGGGGAUGACGGCCUUCGGGUUGUAAACCUCUUUCGACUCUGACGAAGCUACCGGCUUUUGUUGGUGGUGACGGUAUGGGUGGAAGAAGCGCCGGCCAACUACGUGCCAGCAGCCGCGGUAAGACGUAGGGCGCAAGCGUUGUCCGGAUUUAUUGGGCGUAAAGAGCUCGUAGGCGGCUGGUUGCGUCUGCCAUGUAAUCCUGCGGCUUAACUGUGGGGUUGUGGUUGAUACGGGUCGGCUUGAGUGCGGUAGGGGAGACUGGAAUUCCUGGUGUAGCGGUGAAAUGCGCAGAUAUUAGGAGGAACACCGGUGGCGAAGGCGGGUCUCUGGGCCGUUACUGACGCUGAGGAGCGAAAGCGUGGGGAGCGAACAGGAUUAGAUACCCUGGUAGUCCAUGCUGUAAACGUUGGGCGCUAGGUGUGGGGGCCCUUCCCGGGUUUCUGUGCCGUAGCUAACGCAUUAAGCGCCCCGCCUGGGGAGUACGGCCGCAAGGCUAAAACUCAAAGGAAUUGACGGGGGCCCGCACAAGCGGCGGAGCAUGCGGAUUAAUUCGAUGCGACGCGAAGAACCUUACCUGGGUUUGACAUCGCCGGAAAUCCUUCAGAGAUGGGGGGUCCCUUCGGGGGUCGGUGACAGGUGGUGCAUGGCUGUCGUCAGCUCGUGUCGUGAGAUGUUGGGUUAAGUCCCGCAACGAGCGCAACCCUUGUCCUAUGUUGCCAGCGGGUUAUGCCGGGGACUCAUGGGAGACUGCCGGGGUCAACUCGGAGGAAGGUGGGGAUGACGUCAAGUCAUCAUGCCCCUUAUGUCCAGGGCUUCACGCAUGCUACAAUGGCCGGUACAGAGGGCUGCGAUGCCGUGAGGUGGAGCGAAUCUCGUAAAGCCGGUCUCAGUUCGGAUCGGGGUCUGCAACUCGACCCCGUGAAGUCGGAGUCGCUAGUAAUCGCAGAUCAGCAACGCUGCGGUGAAUACGUUCCCGGGCCUUGUACACACCG